rfam:Triticum aestivum genome assembly, contig: Triticum_aestivum_CS42_TGACv1_scaffold_031308_1BL
GAAGUACUCCCUCCGUCCGAGAAUACUUGUCAUCAAAAUGGAUAAAAAAAGGAUGUAUCUAGAACUAAAAUACGUCUAGAUACAUCUCCAUUUAUCCAUUUUGAUGACAAGUAUUUCCGGACGGAGGGAGUACACU